AGUCACGCCUUGUACAGCCGGUCCUUGUAUACAUGGAUAUUGCAAUAUAACUAAUGGGGGUUAUACAUGCACAUGUGAUUCGGGAUAUUCCGGUGUUAAUUGUGAUUUCAAUCCAUGUAUUCCUAAUUCAUGCAAAAAUGGUGGGCACUGUAUCAAUGUCGGAGAACAAAACCACGUAUGUGAAUGCCCGUCAAAUACUUCAGGUUCAAAUUGCCAAUAUUCUUGUUCUGGAUCAUGGAUACUUUAUGACACAACGUGUUACUACUUUAACGGCGGCGCAGCUUCUUGGAACAGUGC